rnacentral:snoRNA from 1 species
UGAUGUUAUGAUGAUGGGCAAAGUAAUGUUCAACUGCUCUGAAUGGGCUGAAGGAAAAUAGCCUCUCUGAACAUCU